rnacentral:rRNA from 1 species
AUUGAACGCUGGCGGCAUGCCUUACACAUGCAAGUCGAACGGCAGCACGGGAGCAAUCCUGGUGGCGAGUGGCGAACGGGUGAGUAAAGUAUCGGAACGUGCCCAGUCGUGGGGGAUAACGUAGCGAAAGUUACGCUAAUACCGCAUACGAUCUAUGGAUGAAAGCGGGGGAUCGCAAGACCUCGCGCGAUUGGAGCGGCCGAUAUCAGAUUAGGUAGUUGGUGGGGUAAAGGCUCACCAAGCCGACGAUCUGUAGCUGGUCUGAGAGGACGACCAGCCACACUGGGACUGAGACACGGCCCAGACUCCUACGGGAGGCAGCAGUGGGGAAUUUUGGACAAUGGGCGAAAGCCUGAUCCAGCCAUGCCGCGUGCAGGAAGAAGGCCUUCGGGUUGUAAACUGCUUUUGUACGGAACGAAACGGUCUGGGUUAAUACCCUGGGCUAAUGACGGUACCGUAAGAAUAAGCACCGGCUAACUACGUGCCAGCAGCCGCAGUAA